rnacentral:rRNA from 1 species
CCCUUAGAUGUCCUGGGCCGCACGCGUGCUACACUGACGCAUACAGCGAGCACUUUCCAGUUCCGAGAGGCUACUGGUAAUCAUCAAUGUGCGUCGUGAUGGGGAUAGAUCUUUGGAAUUCUGGAUCUUGAACGAGGAAUGCCUAGUAAUCGCAGGUCAUUAGCCUGCGAUGAUUAAGUCCCUGCCCUUUGUACACACCGCCCGUCGCUACUACCGAUUUCGAGUGGUCAGGUGAAUCUUUCGGACUGUGGGCGCCCUUGAGGUGUUCGCGGAAAGUCAGGUAAAUCUUAUCACUUAGAGGAAGUAAAAGUCGUAACA